GAUGAACGCUGGCGGCGUGCCUAAUACAUGCAAGUCGAGCGAACAGACGAGGAGCUUGCUCCUCUGACGUUAGCGGCGGACGGGUGAGUAACACGUGGAUAACCUACCUAUAAGACUGGGAUAACUUCGGGAAACCGGAGCUAAUACCGGAUAAUAUAUUGAACCGCAUGGUUCAAUAGUGAAAGACGGUUUUGCUGUCACUUAUAGAUGGUUCCGCGCCGCAUUAGCUAGUUGGUAAGGUAACGGCUUACCAAGGCAACGAUGCGUAGCCGACCGGAGAGGGUGAUCGGCCACACUGGAGCUGAACCACGGUCCAGACUCCUACGGGAGGCAGCAGUAGGGAAUCUUCCGCAAAGGGCGGAAGCCUGACGGAGCAACGCCGCGUGAGUGAUGAAGGUCUUCGGAUCGUAAAACUCUGUUAUUAGGGAAGAACAAAUGUGUAAGUAACUAUGCACGUCUUGACGGUACCUAAUCAGAAAGCCACGGCUAACUACGUG
rnacentral:rRNA from 1 species